GGGGUUGUAGUCUAGCUUGGUAUGAUGCCAGCCUCGGGCGCUGGAGAUCGCCGGUUCAAAUCCGGCCAACCCCA
rnacentral:tRNA from 1 species